rnacentral:rRNA from 1 species
UACGAAGGUGGCAAGCGUUGUUCGGAUUUACUGGGCGUACAGGGAGCGUAGGCGGUUGGGUAAGCCCUUCGUGAAAUCUCCGGGCCUAACCCGGAAAGUGCGGAGGGGACUGCUCGGCUAGAGGAUGGGAGAGGAGCGCGGAAUUCCCGGUGUAGCGGUGAAAUGCGUAGAGAUCGGGAGGAAGGCCGGUGGCGAAGGCGGUCUGCUGGGCCGUUGCUGACGCUGAGGCGCGACAGCGUGGGGAGCAAACAGG